rnacentral:misc_RNA from 1 species
AACUUUCGACAAUGGAUCUCUUGGCUCUGGCAUCGAUGAAGAACGCAGCGAAAUGCGAUAAGUAAUGUGAAUUGCAGAAGUCAGCGAAUCAUCGAAUCUUUGAACGCACAUUGCGCCCGCCGGUAUUCCGGCGGGCAUGCCUGUUCGAGCGUCAUCAAAACCCCUCGGGCCACCUCCCUCUGGAGGGCGGCCCGGCGUUGGGGCGCCACCGGUCCCUCAGCGGUCCCGCGGGCCCCCAAAUCGAGUGGCGGACGCCCCCGAGCCUCCCAGCGCAGUAGCUUCGGUCUCGCUGACGGUGGACGGGAGCGGCCCCUGCCUCGCACCUUUAUCCCAACGUUUGACCUCGGAUCAGGUAGGACUACCCGCUGAACUUAAGCAUAUCAAUAAGCGGAGGC